CAGCAGCAGCCGCGGUAAUGCGUAGGUGGCAAGCGUUGUCCGGAAUUAUUGGGCGUAAAGGGCUCGCAGGCGGUUUCUUAAGUCUGAUGUGAAAGCCCCCGGCUCAACCGGGGAGGGUCAUUGGAAACUGGGAAACUUGAGUGCAGAAGAGGAGAGUGGAAUUCCACGUGUAGCGGUGAAAUGCGUAGAGAUGUGGAGGAACACCAGUGGCGAAGGCGACUCCCUGGUCUGUAACUGACGCUGAGGAGCGAAAGCGUGGGGAGCGAACAGGAUUAGAUACCCCUGUAGUCCCUGUCUCUUAUAC
rnacentral:rRNA from 1 species